rnacentral:lncRNA from 1 species
UCAAUGCGGUCAUUUUAGAGAGGAUGGAUAGGUUGAGCCUCAAUGAGACUUCUAAGUUCAAUCAUCUCAUGGUGAUAACUCGAUGGAAGGAACCAAGAGGAAUUAAACAUGAUAUCAGCCACAGUGGCCUUGGCUGAAAGCCCAGAGUUGGCCAGCAGAGUCUGACUAGGGUUAAUGGGGUUACCAUUUAUCCAUGGGUCAAACCAUAA